GAUCUUCACAGCCGUCAACUCGCUGUCUAUGGACGUGAAACAAUGCGUAAACUUUUUGCAGCUAAUGUUCUCAUCUCUGGAUUGCAAGGCCUUGGCGCUGAAAUUGCAAAGAACCUUAUCCUUGCGGGUGUGAAGUCUGUUACUUUGCACGAUGAAGGAAAUGUGGAAUUGUGGGAUCUAUCUAGCAAUUUUAUCUUCACAGAGGAGGAUGUUGGGAAGAAUAGGGCACUUGCAUCUGUCCAGAAGUUGCAAGAGCUAAACAAUACUGUCAUUAUCUCUACGUUGACGGAUGCUUUGACUAAAGAACAACUUUCCAAUUUUCAGGCCGUUGUAUUUACAGAUAUCAGCUUAGAGAAGGCUUUUGAAUUUGAUGAUUACUGUCAUAUGCACCAGCCUCCUAUUGCUUUCAUCAAAACUGAAGUUCGAGG
rnacentral:misc_RNA from 1 species